UUAGCAUGGAAUAAUGGAAUAGGACGUGUGGUUCUAUUUUGUUGGUUUCUAGGAUCGCCGUAAUGAUUAAUAGGGACAGUCGGGGGCAUCAGUAUUCAAUUGUCAGAGGUGAAAUUCUUGGAUUUAUUGAAGACUAACUACUGCGAAAGCAUUUGCCAAGGAUGUUUUCAUUAAUCAAGAACGAAAGUUAGGGGAUCGAAGACGAUCAGAUACCGUCGUAGUCUUAACCAUAAACUAUGCCGACUAGGGAUCGGACGAUGUUAUUAUUUGACUCGAUCGGCACCUUACGAGAAAUCAAAGUGCUUGGGCUCCAGGGGGAGUAUGGUCGCAAGGCUGAAACUUAAAGAAAUUGACGGAAGGGCACCACCAGGGGUGGAGCCUGCGGCUUAAUUUGACUCAACACGGGGAAACUCACCAGGUCCAGA
rnacentral:rRNA from 1 species